UCGGCGGGGCCGGCGGACAUGAACCGGGGUGGGAUCGGGGUUGGGGCGGUGGCCGGGGAGGGCUGUGGUGCCGGGGAGCGUGUUGGGGCGGGGCGGGGCAGGGCUUGGGCACAGCCUCAAGCUUUCCUCCCCCUCAGGCCCUGGGGCUGGGGCCGCGAGUCUGGGUCGCCCUUGGUGGCCGCGGCCUCCCAGAACCCCCCGGGAAGGGCAGGCGGAGGACCCAUCUUAGAUGAAGCGGGGCCUUACCCGGGUUUUGAAGAGCCCCAGAAUCAGAUGUUGGAAUGGGGUGGCUUAUCAGCCUUGUUUAUCUGCAGAGAAAUUUCAGUUCCAUCCAGAUAUUGGUUCCUUCAGUCAACCUCAGGAAAAAGACACAAGGCCAGGUACCUUCUGUGUGACUUCAACCCUCCAGAGGGCUUCAACCUCCGUAGGAACGUCUGCAUCCACAUUGCCUUCCUCCUGAAGACCCUGCUGAAGAUGGAGGAGCCGGUACUGGUGCUAUUCCCUUGGGGCCACCUCUACCACUGGCAGAGCCCCGAUCCCUGGUCCGACUCCUUUGACCUCCCAAGUCUCAACAGAAACAUCCCUGACAUUGAGUACGAGGAGUUCAUUGCAGGCCUCUGAAUCCUCAGUCCAGGGAAGCUAAACCAUUCUAGCCUUCAUCGGUUCUGGGAAAGCAAUCUUCAGAGUGGGAAAAGACAUUGAAAAAUAAUAUUCUGUGAGUUGCAUUCUACCCUUGCCCAGAGAUGAGAAACAUCUGAAGGUGGAGGAAAACAGUUGGAGGGUUCACUUGGUGAUAAUAAUCAUAACCAAAGCAACAGCAAACCCUUACAGUACUCUGUCCUGCUGUUCCAGGAACGCUGUGUUCAUGACAACCCAAUGAGUUGGCACCACUAUGAGUUCCACUUUAAAGGUAAGGACAUUCAUUAAUCACACGGCUAAUAAAUGGCAGAGCUGGGACUUGAACCCGAGCUCUCUGGCCCCAGAGCCCCCUCUCAGCCCCUUCACUGCAGCUCAUCACUUGGCAUGCCCGACACAGGCCAGCAUUUACGAGCAGCGUGACCUUGGCCAAGGCUGCUUCACUGCUUGGUCUCUGAUUCCUCAUCUGUAGAAUGGGGGUGUGGGCAGUGAACUCUGUGAGCUCAGUGGUCACUUCCUCCAGCUCUGCAAUUCUACUGCUUUGAGUUAGUAUAGUAAGUAUCCGAGCCCCUACAUGGCCCACACAUGGGCUGGCGCUUUGCUAGGCCCUGGGUUACGGAGCAAAGUAAGAUCCGCCUGCUCCUCCGAGGAGCCUGUGUCCCUCCACGGCAAACAGCUGCGAGGCCCAGGCUCCCUGGCUGGCGGUCGGGGGCUGGGCAGGAAAGUCUGAUAAGAGAAGAUGGAGGCAGAGCCCCUCCGGGAACAGUGGUGGCCACACAGCUCUCAGGAGCGAGAGCCUCUGUCCAGGCUGCUGAGAGGGGGAUCCUCAUGAGGCCAGUAGUCCCCCCAACCUAAGCCCUCAGGACAAAGAUCCAGCCAUCCCUGCAGUGUCACCAUAGAGCCAGUCCAUCCUCAUCACUGUGCCUCUGUGCUCCUUUGUCCUGGGGCCUCUCUUCCCCCUACACCCAGAAGACUCUUCUCCCUCUCUUCUCUGAGUGCCCCCUCACUUCACCCAUGGUCCCUGCUUCCUGGGCCACCAUCACUGGAGUUGACGCUUUGCACCUUCACAACCCCCGUUUGAUCAAGUGCCUGGGUUGGCCCCCUUGUGCUCACUUUCCACCUUCAGAUGAUUGUUCCUCCCCUCGUGGGAGCACAUGGAAAACCCAGAUCCUUUCCUAGCAGUGCCUGCCACCCUGGCCUCCCUGCUCAUCUGCCUCAGUCAGGAGCACCUGGACCACCAGCUCUGUAUUGCCUCGCCUCCUACCAUCAAGACGUCAAAGUUCAUUCUCCUUCCACCACCCAGUAUGGUCAUUGUAGGGUCUUCUUCUCUGUCAGCCUGAGCCAGCCACCCCCCAUUCACCCUAACCCCGGGCUCAUACCCGGGCAUGUCUCCACCCCAGGUCCAGCCUCUCUCCUUUAAGUGCCCACAUCUAGCCGUCCAGCUUCUUCUCCACCAGCCUCCCUGGCCCUCCUUCACCCUCACUGGGGCAUCAUGUGCUGACUCCUCUGCUUUCCUGCCUGUCCACGUUCCUCUUACUUCCACUUCCCCACCUUCCAGCUCUGCAUCCACAGACAGCACUCUCUUUAUGACAGACAAAACCCCCUUGAGCCUUGACCUUUUCAGUUCCUCACCAGGCCGACUUCCAUCUCGGUUCACCCAGCUCUACUUGUUCUGAGCCUGCAGGCAGCAGGCUCUCCCAGCACAGAUUUCCAAGACUACAAAUCAAUGCCCACCAUGUUGCCGCUGCCAGGCAAUCCUCCAGGAUUUCUCUAGUGAGCACAUUUCCCCACUUAUCACUCAGUGGUGUCAACAUUCUCUGCUCUCUGCACACCUCUAACCUUCCCUCUGUCUCUUCCCUGACUCCCUGCCUGACUCCCUGACUUCCUUGCCUCCUGCUUCAGAGAGAAUGACAUGUCACUGGAAAGGAACUCGCUCACCUGCAGCAAACCUGCUCACCUCACCUUUUAUCUGUCCCUCUCCCACCUGGACUCUAGCUGUAGUUGUUCUUAAUUCAGUGAGUUUAGUUGACAUAUAUAUACACAGUUAAAAGCAUAACACACUAUCGGCUACCUUCUAGGGGUUACUUUUUCAAUUUAACAUGGAGUGUGUGAUUCAUCCACUUCAUUGCAUGUACCUGCAGUUCAUUUGUUUUAACUGAUCUUAAAUGUUGUGUGUGUGAAAGUAACACAAGGCAAGGGUAAGCCAGGAUUCAGGAUGCUGGUUACUUCCUGUGAGAAGAGGCCAAGAGCAGGAUAGGGAAAGGGGACACAGUAUGUCACUGUCAAUAUUCCUGUUAUGAUGCUGGGUGAUAGGUUCAUAACUGUGUCUUAUAAUAUUAAUUUUAAUACAUAAAUACCUCUGACAGGCACCUAAGAUGAGAAAGUGUCAUGAACCAAGACAUACAAUGGGUAAUAUUACAUCAUUAUUGUUAUGUAAUCUUGUUAUAUUAUAUAUUAAUCAUAAUCUUACAUUAUUUGUUAUUAGUUAUAUAUUAUAUAGAUGCAUGAAUUAUAUAUUAUGUGUAUAAACAUCUACAUAUGUAUUAUAUACUAUCUGCUAAUAAAUAAACAGAAGAUAAUAUGCUAGUAUAUCUUCUAUUAUGUAUUAUUUAAUAAAUAAUAACAUACUCUAUCCUGUUAUAUGACAUGGAACAUAAUCUUUAAUAAAAUAAGAAAUCUGUCAAUA